rnacentral:rRNA from 1 species
UGGGCAACCUGCCCUCAGCUCUGGGAUAACCCCGGGAAACCGGGGCUAAUACCGGAUACGACCUCCGCGGGCAUCUGCGGAGGUGGAAAGGUUUUCCGGCUGAGGAUGGGCCCGCGGCCUAUGAGCUAGUUGGUGUGGGUAACGGCCCACCAAGGCGACGACGGGUAGCCGGCCUGAGAGGGUGACCGGCCACACUGGAACUGAGACGCGGCCCAGACUCCUACGGGAGGCA